CCAAGAAGUCCAACAUGUGCGCGAGUCAUUGGGUCCUACGAAACCUAAAGGCGUAAUGAAGGUGAAGGCAGGUUCGGCUUGCUGAGGUGAGAUCCUCGUCCUCGGGCGGGGCGCAUCACCGGCCCGUCUGCAAAGGCGGAGCAAGAGCGCACACGUUGGGACCCGAAAGAUGGUGAACUAUGCCUGAGCAGGAUGAAGCCAGAGGAAACUCUGGUGGAAGUCCGUAGCGAUUCUGACGUGCAAAUCGAUCGUCGAACUUGGGUAUAGGGGCGAAAGACUAAUCGAACCAUCUAGUAGCUGGUUCCCUCCGAAGUUUCCCUCAGGAUAGCUGGCGCUCGUCUUAACAGUUUUAUCCGGUAAAGCGAAUGAUUAGAGGCCUUGGGGACGAAACGUCCUCAACCUAUUCUCAAACUUUAAAUGGGUAAGGAGUCGGACUCGCUCGAUCUGGAGUCCGGACUGGAAUGUGAGUGCCAAGUGGGCCACUUUUGGUAAGCAGAAUGG
rnacentral:rRNA from 1 species